GACGAACGCUGGCGGCGUGCCUAAUACAUGCAAGUAGAACGCUGAAGGAGGAGCUUGCUUCUCUGGAUGAGUUGCGAACGGGUGAGUAACGCGUAGGUAACCUGCCUGGUAGCGGGGGAUAACUAUUGGAAACGAUAGCUAAUGCCGCAUAAUAGUAGAUGUCGCAUGACAUUUGCUUAAAAGGUGCAAUUGCAUCACUACCAGAUGGACCUGCGUUGUAUUAGCUAGUUGGUGAGGUAACGGCUCACCAAGGCAACGAUACAUAGCCGACCUGAGAGGGUGAUCGGCCACACUGGGACUGAGACACGGCCCAGACUCCUACGGGAGGCAGCAGUAGGGAAUCUUCGGCAAUGGACGGAAGUCUGACCGAGCAACGCCGCGUGAGUGAAGAAGGGUUUCGGAUCGUAAAGCUCUGUUGUAAGAGAAGAACGAGUGUGAGAGUGGAAAGUUCACACUGUGACGGUAUCUUACCAGAAAGGGACGGCUAACUACGUG
rnacentral:rRNA from 1 species